CGGAAUUUAAAAACAAAACAAAAACAACAAAAACGUUUCAAUUAAACAGUUAAAGAAAGUAUAUAAUCUACUUGAAAGAGAAAACAACACCUCAACAUGACCAGGUCAACAUGAACCAGCUGAUACAAUUGCAAACUCUCAGGAGAUGAGAAGGGUUCUGGAUGUACUGUUACAACCAAGGGCUAAUGCAUUACCUCAACAUGAUCUGGUCAACAUGAUGGUGGAAACAACAUGAACCACUCCUGAACACAGAACUGUGGUCAACAUGAACAUUUGCCAUAUUCCUGUAA